UACGUAGGGUGCAAGCGUUAAUCGGAAUUACUGGGCGUAAAGCGUGCGCAGGCGGUUUUGUAAGACAGAUGUGAAAUGCCCGGGCUUAACCUGGGAACUGCAUUUGCGACUGCACGGCUAGAGUGUGUCAGAGGGGGGUAGAAUUCCACGUGUAGCAGUGAAAUGCGUAGAUAUGUGGAGGAAUACCGAUGGCGAAGGCAGCCCCCUGGGAUAACACUGACGCUCAUGCACGAAAGCGUGGGGAUCAAACAGG
rnacentral:rRNA from 1 species